rnacentral:rRNA from 1 species
AGCACCUCGAGUGGUCAGGAGGUUUAUUGGGCCUAAAGCAUCCGUAGCCGGUUGUUUAAGUUUUUCGGUUAAAUCUAUGCGCUUAACGUAUAGGCUGCCGAAAAUACUGGACAGCUAGGGAGUGGGAGAGGUACACGGUACUCGAUAGGAAGGGGUAAAAUCCUUUGAUCUGUUGAUGACCACCUGUGGCGAAGGCGGUGUACCAGAACACGUUCGACGGUGAGGGAUGAAAGCUGGGGGAGCAAACC